UACGGGGGGGGCAAGCGUUAUUCGGAAUUACUGGGCGUAAAGGGCGCGUAGGCGGUUCGCUAAGUUGAAUGUGAAAACUCUGGGCUUAACCCAGAGCCUGCAUUCAAUACUGGCGGGCUAGAGUUCUGGAGGGGAUAGCGGAAUUCCUGGUGUAGCGGUGAAAUGCGUAGAUAUCAGGAGGAACACCGGUGGCGAAGGCGGCUAUCUGGACAGAGUCUGACGCUGAGGCGCGAAAGCGUGGGGAGCAAACAGG
rnacentral:rRNA from 1 species